CACGUAGGCACCAAGCGUUGUCCGGAUUUAUUGGGCGUAAAGAGCUCGUAGGAGGUUCGGUAAGUCGGGUGUGAAAACUCUGGGCUCAACUCAGAGCCGCCACCCGAUACUGCUGUGACUCGAGUGCGGUAGGGGAGCGGGGAAUUCAUGGUGUAGCAGUGAAAUGCGUAGAUAUCAGGAGGAAUACCGAUGGCGAAGGCAGGUCUCUGGGCUGACACUGACGCUCAUGCACGAAAGCGUGGGGAGCAAACAGG
rnacentral:rRNA from 1 species